rnacentral:rRNA from 1 species
CAAUAGCGUAUAUUAAAGUUGUUGCGGUUAAAAAGCUCGUAGUUGGAUUUCUGUUGGGAACGACCGGUCCGCCCAUUGGGUGUGUAUCUGGCUUGUUCUCGGCAUCUUCUUGGUGAACGUUGCUGCACUUGACUGUGUGGAGCGCUACCCAGGACUUUUACUUUGAGGAAAUUAGAGUGUUUCAAGCAGGCAUAUGCCUUGAAUACAUUAGCAUGGAAUAAUAAGAUAGGACCUCGGUUCUAUUUUGUUGGUUUCUAGAGCUGAGGUAAUGAUUAAUAGGGAUAGUUGGGGGCAUUCGUAUUUAACUGUCAGAGGUGAAAUUCUGGAUUUGUUAAAGACGGACUACUGCGAAAGCAUUUGCCAAGGAUGUUUUCAUUGA